rnacentral:lncRNA from 1 species
AUGUUACCUGUUUGUGCCUGUUCUCAGAUAUACUAUCAGCUUGCAGUAACUUCUACAAGAUGCUGGGCAACUGUUCAAAAAGACACUUAUAGAGGGAAGAGAGAUUCAUCAGCUAAGUAUCCAGCAGUAAUGUUCACAUAGUAAACCCCAUCAAAAUUGAGAGUGUAAGUGAAGUAUCCAUUAUUGAUAAAGAUCAGUUUGAUCUUUAAGUUGUUUUUUUUGAUCUUUGAUCUUAAGGUUUCUGGAGGGAGAAGAGACCAAUGUGAAGUGAUGCUGCUACCAACUGAUAGUUGCAAUGCUAUAGCCAUUUUCUGAUACUGUGCUCAUUCCUAUUAAAAAAAAAAAUAAAUCUCAGUUCCUUAAAAAUUAAGAAA